GAUUUCAAAUAUACAGUUUAUUAGUCCACCCAUUGUACAGCGCUAUGGAAUUUGAUGGAGCUAUAUAAAUAAUAAUAAUGAGGCAUCACCUAAGAAUAUUUCUGAACUAGAAGUAUUUUCUAAAUAAAAAAGGAGGAAAUUCCUUAAGCAAGAAAAGAAUGAUGGCAACAUGCUACAGCAAUCAACCAGAGACACUGAUUAUUGUCAAAGGGGAUGUACUAACUUACAGGUACACAAGGUUUAGUAUUUAACAUUUACUUUUAGUUUUCCAAUCCAUUAAAUUUAGCACAAAAACCAGGCAGAAUAUGUAUAGUUCAAGUUUGUAAGGGAACCUCCUUUCCUUAGAAAAUCUAAAUUUUAUCAGACGUGCCAAACCUUUGCAAAC